rnacentral:rRNA from 1 species
UACCAGCUCUCCGAGUGGUAGGGAUGAUUAUUGGGCUUAAAGCGUCCGUAGCCGGCUUAGCAAGUUUCCUGUUAAACUCAGCGACCUAAUCGUUGAAUCGCGGGAAAUACUACUAGGCUAGGAGGCGGGAGAGGUUGACGGUACUUCUGGGGUAGGGGUGAAAUCCUAUAAUCCCGGGAGGACCACCAGUGGCGAAGGCUGUCGACUAGAACGCGCUCGACGGUGAGGGACGAAAGCUGGGGUAGCGAACCGGAUUAGAUACCCGGGUAGUCCCAGCUGUAAACGAUGCGGGCUAGGUGUUGGGAUGGCUACGUGCCAUUUCAGUGCCGCAGGGAAGCCAUUAAGCCCGCCGCCUGGGGAGUACGGCCGCAAGGCUGAAACUUAAAGGAAUUGGCGGGGAGCACCACAAGGCGUGAAGCUUGCGGUUC